rfam:[Candida] intermedia strain CBS 141442 genome assembly, chromosome: IV
GGGCGUGUGGCGUAGUUGGUAGCGCGUCUGCCUUGCAAGCAGAAGGUCACUGGUUCGAUUCCUGUCAUGUCCA